rnacentral:rRNA from 1 species
CCCUUGUACACACCGCCCGUCAAGUCAUGAAAGUCGGUAACACCCGAAGCCAGUGGCCCAACCGCAAGGAGGGAGCUGUCGAAGGUGGGAUCGGUGAUUAGGACUAAGUACGUAACAACGGUACC